GGGGCUGUAGCUCAGUGACAGAGCACUUGCCUAGCAUGCAUGGAGCACUGGGUUCAAUCCUCAGCACCA
rnacentral:tRNA from 1 species